GGAGUUGAGUACAAGGAGCACGCAGGUGGGGGCGGGGGGGGGGCUGGAGGAGAGGAAGAGGAAUCCCGGGGGCCAGGCGGCCGCACAGGGCGCCACAGGUGGAGUCGUGGUGCCCUCCAGUGGACACUUCGGGAAUUUAAGCGGUCUCAGAUUCCGAGGUGCGGGUUUGGCCUGCAGCUCCCCUCGUCCAAGACAGGAGGAUUUACCAGGGGGUGGCUCCAGGGGGGAUUGGAAAGCAGGCCCCCAAAGCCCCUGUGCGUGUGUGUGUUGGAGGCUGUGUGUCUUCCCCUAACCUCACCGUGCAGACGUCAGGAAACGGCUCUAGAGGCAAAAUGUGGGAGUAGCUCCUGGCAAGGGUCCAAAGAUUUUAUUUAAAAAUGUGAGAAAAACCAAAGGCUGUGGAGAUAGGAACUUUUCCCCUUUCCUAAAGUAGACCAAGUACGGUGAUUUAAAUAAGAAAAGAAGGCCCAGCCAGUAACUUUCCAACAGAAUUGGCCCCCUGCCUGGGGUGAUUCUGGAUGUCAGUUAAACUGAGAAAUGCUCUGGUUCCACCGAUUCCCUUGGUUCACCCAGAACAGAUGGGGGGGUGGGGGAGCAGAGGUAUCACAGCUACCCUGUAAUAAAGGGAUGUUUUUGGCAGAAUGGGGGGAAUGGAAAGGUUUGGGGAGAAAGCAGAUAAGGGCAGACAAGCUAGAGGCUUCUCCUUAAUGGAGAACGCCUUGUCUUGAUAACUGUGUUUGACUUCUCCUUCUGAGAAGGUACCACAUUCUGUUUUUUGAACCAGAAACUUUUCUUUGGUAUGAUUGGAUUUAGCACUAGUUGGUUAAAAGUUAGUAUUGGGGGAUGGGGAAAAGAUUCUUUUUUGCUUGAAUGGCUUCUCUUAAGUAUGUAAAUAAUGGCCUCAAGGUUGUGUGCUGUGUCAAGAUCGCGAGCAAAAGACCACCAGGAGCACACCAGCAGUUCAUCCGAGGCAGGUUUCCUUGGUUUGCUGCAGCAGGGAGAAAUGUACCACAAAGGAACCUGGGGGCCAUCCCAGGCAGGGAGGGUUCUUAAUUACCCCAAAUGCCACUACCCCAAAAUAAUUAUCUUCAACCAUGGUUGAUCAUCAUUUGAGCAACUUUCUACACAAUAUAUAGAGAAGGUUAGAUGGAAAUCAUUUAAUGACAUACAAUGUAAAAUAAUUUUGUGUUAGAAUUGUGCCAGCAAUCAGCUGCAGGCUGGGUUUUUGGCUCAUAUGUGCUAUUCGGCUGUGAUUUUGGCCUGAACUCUUAGAAAGUUGACUAGCCAAACACUUCAGCAUCAUUUCUGACGUCUUUGAACUUAUGUGUGGUCCACGAUCAUGACUUCCAUCACACCUUAUCAAGGUAACAAUGUUUGCAAAUGUAAGUAAGCCAUGUUAUUUGGGUUUAUUAUUAAUAUCUGAAUAUUUGCUUUCAAAUACAGAUAGCCAUUCCAGAUGCAACUUGGUGAAAAUAGCCUUCUUUGCUUUAGAUGCUGAAAUUCUAUCAGCCAGUUGAAGUACAAAUGUAUAUUUAAUAUUUCAUGAGUAAAUUGCUGUAAUAAUUGAUGAUUUGAAAGCUGCUAAUUGUACACAAGCAAUGACUAAGAACUUUCAAAUAAUUAAAUAUGGAAGUAGAUUAACAGUUAAUGCAAUUUUCAAGAAAAAGUGUGUUAACUGGAUGCCUUUAGGAAGAACUUUGUAUUAUUAUUAUCAUAUUAUUUUUUAAAGAUCCUAUUUAUUUUUAAUGUCUCAAGUUUUUUUUUUAAUUAAUUAAUUUAUUUAUUUAUGAUAGCCACACACAGAGAGAGAGAGAGAGGCAGAGACACAGGCAGAGGGAGAAGCAGGCUCCAGGCACCAGAAGCCUGACGUGGGACUCGAUCCCGGUCUCCAGGAUCGCGCCCUGGGCCAAAGACAGGCGCCAAACCGCUGCGCCACCCAGGGAUCCCUAAUGUCUCAAGUUUUUAUUUAAAAUUCUAGUUAGUUAAAAAAUAGUGUGAUAUUAGUUUCAGGAGUAGAAUUUAGUGAUUCAUCACAUACAACACCCGGGGCUCAUCACAACAAAUGCCCUUCUUAAUACCCAUCACCCAUCUAGCCCAUCUCCUGCCCACCUCUUUUCCCGCGACCCUCAGUUCAUUCUCUAUUGUUAAGAGUCUGUUAUGGAGAAAAAAGUCUGUUUAUUGUAGGGCACCUGGGUGGCUAAGUCAGUUAAGCAUCUGCCUUCAGCUCAGGUCAUGAUCCCAGGGUCCUGGGGUUAGGAUCCUGCUUAGUGCGGAGUCUGUGCCUCCCUCCUCCUCUGCCCUUCCUCCCACUCAUGCUCUCCUCUCUCUCAAAUAAAUUUAAAAAAAUAUUUUAUAAGAAAAGUCUC
rnacentral:lncRNA from 1 species